AACGAACGGCUGGCGGCGUGCUUAACACAUGCAAGUCGAACGCGAAAGGGGCUUCGGUCCUGAGUAAAGUGGCGCACGGGUGAGUAACGCGUGGAUAAUCUACCCGAUGGACCGGGAUAACAUUUCGAAAGGGUGCUAAUACCGGAUAAGACCACGGGCUCUUCGGGGUCUGUGGUAAAAGGUGGGGACCUUCGGGCCUACCGUCAAUGGAUGAGUCCGCGUACCAUUAGCUAGUUGGUGGGGUAAGAGCCUACCAAGGCGACGAUGGUUAGCUGGUCUGAGAGGAUGAUCAGCCACACUGGAACUGAGACACGGUCCAGACUCCUACGGGAGGCAGCAGUGGGGAAUUUUGCGCAAUGGGGGAAACCCUGACGCAGCAACGCCGCGUGAGUGAUGAAGGCCUUCGGGUCGUAAAGCUCUGUCAGAGGGGAAGAAAUGCAGGGGCGCUAAUAUCGCUUAUGCUUGACGGUACCCUCAAAGGAAGCACCGGCUAACUCCGUG
rnacentral:rRNA from 1 species